rnacentral:rRNA from 1 species
CAGACGUCCUGGGAUGCAGCCGCGGGAAAACGGGAGGUGAUAGAGUGAAUCGGAAUGACUGUGCGUAAAGCGUGCGCAGGCGGCUUAUUAAGUCAGAUGUGAAAUCCCUAGUCUCAACAUAGGAACUGCAUUUGAAACGAGUAAACUAGAGUAUCGUAGAGGGAGGUAGAAUUCCAGGUGUAGCGGUGAAAUGCGUAGAUAUCUGGAGGAAUACCAGUGGCGAAGGCGACCUCCUGGACGAAAACUGACGCUCAAGCACGAAAGCAUGGGGAGCAAACAGGAUUAGAUACCCCGGUAGUC